ACUGUUAGUAUUUGCACCCUUGAUGGGACGGUCAAAACCAUUCUUCACAAGAUUCGGGACGACCUGCUGGUGUACAGGAAAUGCUUCAGUGGAUCCCAUCUCAUCACCUGGAUCAUGAAACACCCGGAUCUCUUUUAUCAGUUUGAUCCAGAAUUAGAGAAUACAGAAAAUAGCAGGGAGAGAAGAUGGACAGCUAUAUCGAUCGCCGAGACCCUGCUGAGGAGUGGUGUGAUUGUUGAUUUGGAUGCUGAGGAGGAACCAGAAUUUGAGGAAGAAGAUGAUGAAAUAAUAGCUUUUCCUGAGAUCAGCAUUGCUGGAGAACAUGGGGCAUCUUAUUCCUAUGAUGGGAAUUACUCUCGUAACAACACUCCUCGAGCCACACCUGUCCCUCACGGAACGGAUACACCUGUCCCUCACAGGACGGUCCCAGAGGAGAGCCAGAGACCCCUGUCCCCAAAGAAAAGAUCCCUUCAUCAGAGUCUUCACGCACAUUUUAGAGGUACCCCUGUUCUACAGCAAAGACAGAGGUCACAUGACCCUCAUUUCAUUGAUGGGCCACAUCAUGGUGUUUUGAGACAGGUGGACUUGGAUGCAUCGGGAGAACACCACCAACAGCCAAUUACACCCUUGCAACAUCAAAGUCUGAGGACACAGGUCCUCACCACUCCCAUCAGACAGACUCAGUCCUGCAGAGUCCAGAGAAGCCACAGUGCUCAAGCUCAACUUGGUGAAAAGGAAGAGCAAGAUGAGUCACGUCUUCAGAAAAAAGAUGGAGAAGUGCCUAAUAAAAGAUCAAAUUCAGGUGAUUCUGUGGACAAAGACACACCAGGUUCAUCUUCCAAAGUGGAGAAUCUUCCAGUGAAUGCCCAUUCAGAUUAUGCUCCUGGAUGGAAUCUUCCAUUCUGUGCAACACCAAACCUACAUGGAAGUGUGUUGGAUAGUUCCUUUCAAGAAAGUGAAUUUCAGUUUGAGGACAGUCGCAGGAAGUUCUAUCGUAUCGCUAGCUUUGCUGAUAGCCUCCCUCAGAACAGAUCUCCUUGUUCAGAGGAGCUCAGCAGUUUAGUGGAAAAGUGCUUUGAGAUAAAGAUCAUUCCUGAAUUUGUGUUCCGUAUUUUAUUGAGUAGGAAAACCUUUGACGACGUGGCCAGAAACUAUUUAGCCAGUCAUCCAGAAGGAAAGCAUGGUGACUAUUUUUGUGAAAUCAGUUAAAUAAUCUUAAUUAUCCCAAAGAAAUAUUUCAUGUCUUUCAUUUUCUUUUACUGAAUGUUAUAUAACGAGAAUAUUAUGUUGUUCAGACAGUACAUGUACAUGUAUGUUUCUAGUGUUUGCAAUUCUUGAGUACUUUGUUAGCCCAUAUACGGAAAUACUGAUAUAUUUUUAAAUACCAGUGACACGCUUUAUACACAGCAGUGUGUUCUUAGAAUGUCAUAUCAUGAUGUAAUUACAUUUUUUUUUGGGCUAUUGUUUUACAUAUUCAUCAUCAUUAUCAGCUGUGAUAAAGUAGAAUUUGACAUUCCCCAUUUGUUGUAUCUGACAGUGUGUACAUUUUCCAAUAUUUUUUGUGUAUUAAUAAAUAUUAAA
rnacentral:misc_RNA from 1 species